rnacentral:tRNA from 1 species
GCCUGGGUGGCUCAGUUGGUUGAGUGUUUGACUUUAGCUCAGGUCAUGAUCUAGGGUUCGUAGGUUUGAGCCCUGUGUCAGGCU